rnacentral:rRNA from 1 species
GACCGCCUNGGGAGUACGGUCGCAAGAUUAAAACUCAAANGAAUNGACGGGGACCCGCACAAGCGGNGGAUGAUGNGGAUUAAUUCGAUGCAACGNGAAGAACCUUACCUGGUCUUGACANGUACGGAAUCUUCCAGAGACGGAAGAGUGCCUUCGGGAGCCGUAACACAGGUGCUGCAUGGCNGUCGUCAGCUCGNGUCGNGAGAUGUUGGGUUAAGUCCCNCAACGAGCGCAACCCUNGUCAUUAGUUGCCACCAUUCAGUUGGGCACUCUAAUGAGACUGCCGGNGACAAACCGGAGGAAGGUGGGGANNANGUCAAGUCCUCAUGGCCCUUAUGACCAGGGCUUCACACGUCAUACAAUGGUCGGUACA